AUUGAACGCUGGCGGCAGGCCUAACACAUGCCAGUCGAGCGGAUGAAGGGAGCUUGCUCCUGGAUUCAGCGGCGGACGGGUGAGUAAUGCCUAGGAAUCUGCCUGGUAGUGGGGGAUAACGUCCGGAAACGGGCGCUAAUACCGCAUACGUCCUGAGGGAGAAAGUGGGGGAUCUUCGGACCUCACGCUAUCAGAUGAGCCUAGGUCGGAUUAGCUAGUUGGUGGGGUAAAGACCUACCAAGGCGACGAUCCGUAACUGGUCUGAGAGGAUGAUCAGUCACACUGGAACUGAGACACGGUCCAGACUCCUACGGGAGGCAGCAGUGGGGAAUAUUGGACAAUGGGCGAAAGCCUGAUCCAGCCAUGCCGCGUGUGUGAAGAAGGUCUUCGGAUUGUAAAGCACUUUAAGUUGGGAGGAAGGGCAGUAAGUUAACACCUUGCUGUUUUGACGUUACCAACAGAAUAAGCACCGGCUAACUUCGUG
rnacentral:rRNA from 1 species